rnacentral:tRNA from 1 species
GGGUCGUUAGGUCAGUCGGUUGUGCAGCGGGCUGUUAACCCGUUGGUCCUGGGUUCGAAUCCCAGACGACCCACCA